rnacentral:lncRNA from 1 species
AUGCAUGGCGCCUAUGUGGGGGGUCAUGGUGGUCAUGAGGCUUCAAUAUGUACAGCCAUAACACAUCCAGAACAAGUUAAAAAGUUCCAUGCAAUGGUAGCUCAUGUAGACUAAUGAAACAAUGCCCUGCAAGGCCCGAUAGAUCUUGAAAAAGAAUAUAACGAGUAAGUGCUCUCUGAUUGAUCUUUUGUUUUCCCAUAUAUGUAUUCAUCUGUUAAAGAUCUCUAAUACUCUAAAUAUUUUUUAUACAAAUUACUCGAAAUUACAGUGUGGAUUUAUGGAGUUAUGGCUUAACCAUUAUAUUCUAUGUUCUAGAUUAGCUAUUGCUCACUUGGAAUUUAUUUUUGCUUAUAUUUGGCUUAUCAUGUCUUCGUCUAUUAUGCAUACCAAGCCUUUCUAAAUUUUUUGUUUUGAAUUUGUUUUACAUAAAAUACGCUCCCACUUUCGCAGUGUGUAAUCAUCUGAUCUUAAAUAAGAAACAAAGAAAAGAAAGUAGCCCCAAAAUAAUAUAACUCCUCCAACUGUGUGUGUGGUUGGUGCAAACAAAGUGUGGGCAAAAUGGAAUGAUAAUCAGGAAAUUCCAAAAUGGUCUGCUUCUGUCUCUGGUUUGUGGUUUUCAUUCAACACCCUUUCACAAGUCUUAUAAGUUCUACUUAUGGAUUGUAAAUCUAAUCAUUUGCUAAAUUUUUAGUUCAUAAAAGCAAUUUACAAAAGAGUUGAAAUUUUAGUUUUAUAUUCUUUCGAAGAGAUCUGAAGUUCCAGACCUGCAUUUUAGUC